UACGUAGGGUGCAAGCGUUGUCCGGAAUUAUUGGGCGUAAAGAGCUCGUAGGCGGUCUGUCGCGUCUGCUGUGAAAACUCGGGGCUUAACCCCGGACCUGCAGUGGGUACGGGCAGACUAGAGUGCGGUAGGGGAGACUGGAAUUCCUGGUGUAGCGGUGAAAUGCGCAGAUAUCAGGAGGAACACCGGUGGCGAAGGCGGGUCUCUGGGCCGUAACUGACGCUGAGGAGCGAAAGCAUGGGGAGCGAACAGG
rnacentral:rRNA from 1 species